AGACGCAGUGGAUUGGAAUGAAGUUACCUGAAGAAGAAAGACACCAAAACAAGUCGAGACUCGGCAAGACCAGACAAAAUUGACCCUUUUAAAGUCUUUGCUCUAUUCUCGUUACAUGACAAUGAGCAAAGAGGGGCAACUGUAGUGGCCAAAUUUUACCCGGGCCUAGUGCCAAACUAAACCAAAUGUCCCAAACCCAGAAUAACAGACCCAAAAAAAGUAAAAAACCAGCAGCCCAAAAACCCUAACCCAUUUUCAAAAAAACAAAACAAAAAAGAAAACCUAACCCUAGGUGCACCGCACCUAGGGUCUUCUGACCCCUGGCCGCCGCACGUCUGCCACCACCACUGUUGCGCCGUACCUGCCACC
rnacentral:lncRNA from 1 species